rnacentral:rRNA from 1 species
CACGAACCGUACGAACGUUAUUCGGAAUUACUGGGCGUAAAGCGCACGUAGGCGGAUUUGUAAGUCAGGGGUGAAAUCCCGGGGCUCAACCUCGGAACUGCCUUUGAUACUGCAAAUCUCGAGUCCGGAAGAGGUGAGUGGAAUUCCUAGUGUAGAGGUGAAAUUCGUAGAGAUUGGGAAGAACACCAAUUGCGAAGGCAGCUGGCUACACAUAUAUUGACACUGAUGCACGAAAGCGUGGGGAUCAAACAGG